GCUUCAAUGAUUUAUUUCUUGUUUUGGCACGGGCACAGUUGAAUGAUAUGAGAGCUAAUUUUGUUUUUCUGCUUUAAUAGCUUAUAUUGUCUGCAUAAUGAACCCUUUUGAGCUUCAUCAGGAGAGUCACACUGUCUAUACACUUUUGUUCGUACAAAAUUUCCAGUUUGUUCUCUAAGAAGUUUCUUAUCUGCAGCCUGGAAGAAGAGAGCCAUUUACACAAGUAUCAGGAAGAGACAAGCCCACAGAGCUGAAAUUCCUUGUUAAGGUGGUUGUCAGAGAACGGAUGCAGAAAAUGGAAGUGUGGAACAAAGUCAUGAGCCUGAUGAGAAAUAGAAAUAUCAGAGAGCCUCAAAUCAAAGGAAGAGUUCUGAUUUUCUAUGCAGAUACCUGACCUGGCUCUGCUUGCCCUAAGGCCAGAACUGGAAGUAUUGGGCAGUAACGCUGUUGCAAGAGCUGGAACAAGCUGCACAUAAGCCAGGGCAAGGCUUGAAGAAAUAUGUGGUACUUCUUGUGAGGCUGGUCUCUACCAUUUGCAGGUACAGGGUGAGAAAUCUGUGCAAUACUGCAAUUCACAGCGUGGGUUUACCAUCUAACUGAAGGCAAUAAAAACAGU
rnacentral:lncRNA from 1 species